rnacentral:miRNA from 1 species
UAAUGCCCUGUGAAAUCCCAAA